GUUGACCUCGGAUCAGGUAGGGAUACCCGCUGAACUUAAGCAUAUCAAUAAGCGGAGGAAAAGAAACCAACAGGGAUUGCCCUAGUAACGGCGAGUGAAGCGGCAACAGCUCAAAUUUGAAAUCUGGCGCAAGCCCGAGUUGUAAUUUGUAGAGGAUGCUUCUAGGUAGCGACCGGUCUAAGUUCCUUGGAACAGGACGUCAUAGAGGGUGAGAAUCCCGUAUGUGACUGGCCCGCACCUUCUACGUAGCUCCUUCGACGAGUCGAGUUGUUUGGGAAUGCAGCUCUAAAUGGGAGGUAAAUUUCUUCUAAAGCUAAAUACCGGCCAGAGACCGAUAGCGCACAAGUAGAGUGAUCGAAAGAUGAAAAGCACUUUGGAAAGAGAGUUAAAAAGCACGUGAAAUUGUUGAAAGGGAAGCGCUCACAACCAGACUUCUAGGCAGUGUUCCGCCGGUCUUUUGACCGGUCUACUCUCUGUCUCGAGGCCAACAUCAUCUGGGACCGCUGGAUAAGACCUUAGGAAUGUAGCUCCCCUCGGGGAGUGUUAUAGCCUCUGGUGAUGCAGCGAGUCUCGGGUGAGGUCCGCGCUUCGGCAAGGAUGUUGGCGUAAUGGUUGUCAGCGGCCCGUCUUGAAACACGGACCAAGGAGUCUAACAUCUAUGCGAGUGUUCGGGUGUCAAACCCCUACGCGUAAUGAAAGUGAACGGAGGUGGGAAGCGUAAGCUGCACCAUCGACCGAUCCUGAUGUCCUCGGAUGGAUUUGAGUAAGAGCAUAGCUGUUGGGACCCGAAAGAUGGUGAACUAUGCCUGAAUAGGGUGAAGCCAGAGGAAACUCUGGUGGAGGCUCGCAGCGGUUCUGACGUGCAAAUCGAUCGUCAAAUUUGGGUAUAGGGGCGAAAGACUAAUCGAACCAUCUAGUAGCUGGUUCCUGCCGA
rnacentral:rRNA from 1 species